rnacentral:rRNA from 1 species
CUUAACACAUGCAAGUCGAACGCUGAAGCUUGGUGCUUGCACUGGGUGGAUGAGUGGUGAACGGGUGAGUAAUACGUGAGUAACCUGCCCUUGACUCUGGGAUAAGCCAGGGAAACUGGGUCUAUACUGGAUACGACAUGUCAUCGCAUGGUGGUGUGUGGAAAGGGUUUUACUGGUUUUGGAUGGGCUCACGGCCUAUCAGCUUGUUGGUGGGGUAAUGGCUCACCAAGGCGACGACGGGUAGCCGGCCUGAGAGGGUGACCGGCCACACUGGGACUGAGACACGGCCCAGACUCCUACGGGAGGCAGCAGUGGGGAAUAUUGCACAAUGGGCGGAAGCCUGAUGCAGCGACGCCGCGUGAGGGAUGACGGCCUUCGGGUUGUAAACCUCUUUCAGCACGGAAGAAGCGAAAGUGACGGUACGUGCAGAAGAAGCGCCGGCUAACUACGUGCCAGCAGCCGCGGUAAUACGUAGGGCGCAAGCGUUGUCCGGAAUUAUUGGGCGUAAAGAGCUCGUAGGCGGUUUGUCGCGUCUGCUGUGAAAGCCCGGGGCUUAACCCCGGGUGUGCAGUGGGUACGGGCAGACUUGAGUGCAGUAGGGGAGACUGGAAUUCCUGGUGUAGCGGUGAAAUGCGCAGAUAUCAGGAGGAACACCGAUGGCGAAGGCAGGUCUCUAGGC